rnacentral:rRNA from 1 species
GUUUUCUUUGCUUUUAUAUAGAUUAUGUGUGUUUAUUUAUAUUUAAAAAUAGGUCAAAUUUUUUUAUUUAAGUUUUAAAUAUUCAUUUUUGUAUAAAAUUUAUGUUUGUGACAGGGAUUAGAUACCCCACUAACGUAUUUUGUAGUAUUAUCUUAAUUUAUUAACUAAAAUGGUUUGGCAGUGAGUGAUUCUUUUUAGGGGAAGGUGUGGUGUAAAGGAUGUUCCGCCUAUUAAUUUACUUUUAUUAUGUUGGUGUAUAUCUGGUUUAAUAUUAUUGUUGAAUAAUAUUAGUUUGUGUAAUUUUAUUAGUUAAGCCAAGUCUAUGUGCUGCUUAUAGAAGUAUUCAUGCGUUACUUUAAUAAAGUUUUAGUUGUAAGUACUAUCAUAUUCAGGACUAAAAAGUAAUGUUAAAUUAUUUUGUUAAUGUGAAGUAAGUUUAGCUCAU